GACAGAGGGUGCUAGCGUUGUUCGGAAUUACUGGGCGUAAAGGGCGCGUAGGCGGUCUGUUAAGUUCGGUGUGAAAUCCCCUGGCUCAACUGGGGAACUGCGCUGGAAACUGGCAGACUCGAGUACCGGAGAGGAGAGUGGAAUUCCUGGUGUAGCGGUGAAAUGCGUAGAUAUCAGGAAGAACACCAACGGCGAAGGCAGCCCGCUGGGACGGUACUGACGCUAAGGCGCGAAAGCGUGGGGAGCGAACAGG
rnacentral:rRNA from 1 species